CGACGGGUGCGUAACGCGUAUGCAACUUGCCUAUCAGGAGGGGAUAACCCGGCGAAAGUCGGACUAAUACCGCAUGAAGCAGGGAUCCCGCAUGGGAAUAUUUGCUAAAGAUUCAUCGCUGAUAGAUAGGCAUGCGUUCCAUUAGGCAGUUGGCGGGGUAACGGCCCACCAAACCGACGAUGGAUAGGGGUUCUGAGAGGAAGGUCCCCCACAUUGGUACUGAGACACGGACCAA
rnacentral:rRNA from 1 species